CCUACGGGUGGCAGCAGUGAGGAAUAUUGGUCAAUGGACGAGAGUCUGAACCAGCCAAGUAGCGUGAAGGAUGACUGCCCUAUGGGUUGUAAACUUCUUUUAUAUGGGAAUAAAAUGUUCCACGUGUGGGAUUUUGUAUGUACCAUAUGAAUAAGGAUAGGCUAACUCCGUGCCAGCAGCCGCGGUAAUACGGAGGAUCCGAGCGUUAUCCGGAGUUAUUGGGUUUAAGGGGAGAGUAGGUGGCUUGUUAAGUCAGUUGUGAAAGUUUGCGGCGCAACCGUAAAAUUGCAGUUGAAACUGGCUGUCUUGAGUACAGUAGAGGUGGGCGGAAUUCGUGUUGUAGCGGUGAAAGGCUUAGAUAUCACGAAGAACUCCUAUUGCGAAGGCAGCUCACUGGACUGAAACGGACACUGAGGCUCUAACGUGUGGGUAUCAAACAGGAGUAGAUACCCCUGUAGUC
rnacentral:rRNA from 1 species